UGGCCGGUGGCGGGCGUGCUAUACAUGCAAGUCGAGCGGACAGAUGGGAGCUUGCUCCCUGAUGUUAGCGGCGGACGGGUGAGUAACACGUGGGUAACCUGCCUGUAAGACUGGGAUAACUCCGGGAAACCGGGGCUAAUACCGGAUGGUUGUUUGAACCGCAUGGUUCAAACAUAAAAGGUGGCUUCGGCUACCACUUACAGAUGGACCCGCGGCGCAUUAGCUAGUUGGUGAGGUAACGGCUCACCAAGGCAACGAUGCGUAGCCAACCUGAGAGGGUGAUCGGCCACACUGGGACUGAAACACGGCCCAAACUCCUACGGGAGGCAGCAGUAGGGAAUCUUCCGCAAUGGACGAAAGUCUGACGGAGCAACGCCGCGUGAGUGAUGAAGGUUUUCGGAUCGUAAAGCUCUGUUGUUAGGGAAGAACAAGUACCGUUCGAAUAGGGCGGUACCUUGACGGUACCUAACCAAAAAGCCACGGCUAACUACGUGCCAGCAGCCGCGGUAAUACGUAGGUGGCAAGCGUUGUCCGGAAUUAUUGGGCGUAAAGGGCUCGCAGGCGGUUUCUUAAGUCUGAUGUGAAAGCCCCCGGCUCAACCGGGGAGGGUCAUUGGAAACUGGGGAACUUGAGUGCAAAAAAGGAGAGUGGAAUUCCACGUGUAGCGGUGAAAUGCGUAAAGAUGUGAAGGAACACCAGUGGCGAAGGCGACUCUCUGGUCUGUAACUGACGCUAAGGAGCGAAAGCGUGGGGAGCGAACAGGAUUAGAUACCCUGGUAGUCCACGCCGUAAACGAUGAGUGCUAAGUGUUAGGGGGUUUCCGCCCCUUAGUGCUGCAGCUAACGCAUUAAGCACUCCGCCUGGGGAGUACGGUCGCAAGACUGAAACUCAAAGAAUUGACGGGGGCCCGCACAAGCGGUGGAGCAUGUGGUUUAAUUCGAAGCAACGCGAAGAACCUUACCAGGUCUUGACAUCCUCUGACAUCCUAAAAAUAGGACGUCCCCUUCGGGGCAAAAUGACAGGGGUGCAGGUUGUCGUCAGCUCGUGUCGUGAAAUGUGGGUUAAGUCCCG
rnacentral:rRNA from 1 species